CACAGUGUGCACGUGGGUUGGUGUGUAUGGCUGUGUCUACAUGUGUGGUGGAUUCACGUGGCGAGUGGAGUGUGACAUGUUGUUGAGACCUACUCUGAUGUGCUUAUCUGCCAACUGUGAAAUGAAAUAGAAGACAGGGAGGCUUCGUAUGUGUACUUCGUGUACAACAAUGCGCGGUUCCUACAGGAGGUGUCCAUGGAUCUCCCUCUCUGUCUGUCUCUCUCUCUGUCUCUGUCUCUCUGUCUCUGUCUCUGUCUCCGUCUUCUCACGCCACUCUCUCCCCGUCUUCUCACGCCACUCUCUCCAUCUCUUUUCCCUCGCAGCCAGACCCUGCCGUCUCUCCCUCUGGGUCCUCCUGCCCGCAUGUCAGGAAUCUGCCUGGACAGGGUCCUCACUCCCCACCGAGGCAGCUCCAGGGGACCUGGAGGGCUUAAAGGGGCGGGGCUCAGACACUUGGGGACCGGAGUCAGGUUUCUGGGACACAGAAGGGCAACUCCUGGGUUCCAGGAUAGAGAAACUCCUCAGCCGAGUCUCGGGGUGCUGACCCCUCCCUGGGGCUCCCCCCUUCUCUUCUCACCUUCCCCCAGUACGAUGAGCUGCCGCACUACCCAGGCAUCGCGGAUGGCCCUGCAGCCCUGGCUGGCUUCCCAGAGGCAGUGCCCGCAGCACCAGGGCCCUAUGGCCCCCACCGGCCUCCCCAGCCCCUGCCCCCAGGCUUGGACAGCGACGGCCUGAAGAGGGAGAAGGAUGAGAUCUAUGGACACCCGCUCUUCCCCCUCUUGGCGCUGGUCUUUGAGAAAUGUGAACUGGCUACAUGCUGUCCCCGUGACGGGGCUGGAGCUGGGCUGCGGACACCCCCCGGCGGCGACGUCUGCUCCUCUGAUUCCUUCAACGAGGACAUCACAGCCUUCGCCAAGCAGGUGGGCACCCCCACCCGCCAUGCACGGCACCGGAGAGCCAGCAAGGAGGGGCGGGUGGAAGGCGGGACAUCCCCCUGCUGGCCUCUCUUCCCUCCCAGGUUCGCUCUGAGAGGCCCCUCUUCUCCUCCAACCCAGAACUGGACAAUCUGGUGAGACCCGAGCCCUCCCCAGUGGGUCUCCUGUCCUGACGCCCCAUCCCUGGGGUUGGCAGGUGGGGUGCGGAGAGAAGGCCACCUGGUUCAUGUUCCCAAAUGGUCAUGAUUGUUGCCCACAUGCCGUGUGGUACAGCCUAGAGUCUGAGAACGGGACCCAUGGCCCGAGUUCAAAUCCCAGCUGUGCCACUCACCAGCUCUGUGACCCAGGGCAAGUCACUCUGCAUCUCUGUGCCUCGGUGUCCCAUCUGUGAAGUGUGGCUGGUAGUAAUUUCUGUCUUGGAGGACUGCUGUGGGGAUUUAAUGAGUGAAUGCGAGUCAAGUGCAUGGAACAGCACCUGGCACAGAAUAGGGCUCAAAAAGUGUCUGAUGUUCCAUCCGUCAGAAGAUCAGCACCUAUGCCAAAGUGAGCGCAGGGACUGCUGCCCAAGGAGGGGAGGCCGGGUGCAGCAGCUCACGCCUGUAAUGCCAGCACUUUCGGAGUCCAAGGCCAGGAAAUAGCUUGAGACCAGGGUCAAGACCAGCCUGGGCAAUGUAGCGAGACCCCACCUCUAAAAAAACAUUUAAUUAGCUGGGCAUGGUGGCACUCGCCUGUAGUCCCAGCUACUCGGGAGGCUGAGGCAGAAUUGCUUGAACCUGAAAGGCAGAGGUUGCAGUGAGCCGAGAUCCUGCCACUGCACGCCAGCCUGGGCAACAAGGCGAGACUCCAUCUCGUUAAAAAAAAAAAAAAAAAAAAAAAAGCAAAGAAAGAGAGAGAGGGAGGGAGGGAGGAAAGGAGAGAGAGAGAGAGAGAGAAAGAAAGAGAGA
rnacentral:sRNA from 1 species